rnacentral:rRNA from 1 species
UUGAGCUUGAUCCCUGGCUCAGGACGAACGCUGGCGGCGUGCCUAAUACAUGCAAGUCGAGCGGAUUUAAUUGAAAGCUUGCUUUCAAUUAAGUUAGCGGCGGACGGGUGAGUAACACGUGGGUAACCUGCCUUUAAGACUGGGAUAACAUUCGGAAACGGAUGCUAAUACCGGAUAGGCGAUUUGGUCGCAUGAUCGAAUCGAGAAAGAUGGAGCAAUCUAUCACUUAGAGAUGGACCCGCGGCGCAUUAGCUAGUUGGUGAGGUAACGGCUCACCAAGGCGACGAUGCGUAGCCGACCUGAGAGGGUGAUCGGCCACACUGGGACUGAGACACGGCCCAGACUCCUACGGGAGGCAGCAGUAGGGAAUCUUCCGCAAUGGACGAAAGUCUGACGGAGCAACGCCGCGUGAGUGAUGAAGGUUUUCGGAUCGUAAAGCUCUGUUGCCAGGGAAGAACGCUUGGGAUAGUAACUGCUCCCAAGGUGACGGUACCUGAGAAGAAAGCCCCGGCUAACU